GAGAGGGCGUUUAAAGUCACUUACUACUAGCUCGAGGCUAGGGAAGAAACUAGUCGAAGAUUGGGUGGAUAAAAGCAAUGAGGUGAGGUCCUUGACGAUCCGCAAGCACCGGGCUUCCUCGUAUGUGACCCUUCACACUUGUAUAAAUAUAGAAUGCCUUGAACAAAAUCAAAAGGUGGUGGUGGUGUGGCCUACGUCUUCGGCCGUGAAUGUCAAAGAGGGAAAGAGAGGGAGUAAAUUUUGUUAUGUGUUAAAGUGGAUGAGAUGGUGAACUUGUGGAUUUAAUUAUAGUCCAUCCACUCAAAUUGUCCAUGGUGCAAAAUGUUUAGUAGAUAUUUGGCAUAGUGAUUAAAAUAAUCGAUCAAAGGACAAAGUGUGUCACCUAUUUUGGUGACCGAUCGGACAAAGGGUGGGGGGGGGGGGGUUUGGUUUGGGUUUAGCUAAUUAGUUAAGGUAGUCUAGUUAGUUGGUUAAGACUAGUUACUAAUGUGUAGUAAAUUGUAACGGGUGUUAGGGUACUCGGGGACCCUAACUGGCUCAAAAAGAAAAACAGUGUCAAUGACAAUAUUUUUUUUUAUGUCCCGUGUUAAGUCCGGUUGUUCGGUUGGAUACUAGUCCGUUAAAGUGCUAAAUAAUUAUAUAAAGUGUCGUUAUUAUUAUUUUUAGUGACACAACUUAUUCCCGACACUUUGGAAAGUGUCUAGUAAUAUUUUUCUCAUGUUUUGGCACUUUAUCAGUUAGCUAGAUGCUAAAUUUUUAAUUAAAGUGCUGAAUUUUGUACUUAGAGUACGUUUUAGGCACAUCCGGUCACAAUAACUUAUACCUAGUGACGCAGUUCUACAACCCUCGUAUCCCUACACUCUCUACUAGUGUAGUAAACUAUCUCGGGCUCAUACAGACCUUAGAGGCAGUGUCUGCCUGAUGCUGGCUAUAUCAGCAUGUUUGAUGGGUUGUCACUAAAGUUCUGUAUGUAAAUAAUGAAGUGACAGCAAAUAAAGUAUGAUGCAAGUAUGUACAUGUAUCAGUGUUCGGGUAGCAGUUUAUCCAUAAUUUCAAUCAAGCACAGUAAUUAAGCAGUAAUUAAGUAUUAAUUAAGUUGUACGGAUACCUGAUUUGGUGAGGGCUGUCACACAGAGUCUGUCUCAUCAUAGGUAGAUGAUGAAGAUUUGGCACCGGAGAAAUGAUGGGGGCAGCUGCAGCCACCACCACCACCUGUCGCCGCUGUAGACGGCCGCCGGAACAACGACGCCUUCGCCGUCUCCCCCUCUGCCCUCCGAUCUCUUUCCACCGACGGUAGUGGAGGUUGGUCAUUCGUCGGUUCGCAUCAGAUAGGGGGGUGCUGUAGCUGUGAGUCGCCGGUUAUUAAACAGGUGGAGGGGGCUGCCGUCAGCCCGUCGCCGGUUAUAUAUGAGGGAAGAUGGGUGUUGAACAACUUUGAGAGAAAGAGAGAAAUUAGUGGCUGUUGAAGCUCUAUGAUUUUUUUUUUGAAGGAAUGGGUUUUUGAAGAGAGUGGAGUGGUGAGAGAAAUAAAAGAGACAAAAUAGGAGAGAGAGUCUGAUCUUUU
rnacentral:lncRNA from 1 species